UCUUGGCAGUCUCAAGGAACCAGGCAAGGGGGUUGUUAACCUUCUGACGCCGCUCGGGCCUGGUCAGCGUUCCAAGGUCGCUUUCCUGUGGCCUUAGCCUUGGGAAUGAGGCUGUUGAGUUAACUUUAGCUCCUUGUGGCCGUCCAGGCGGCACUGUCUGCCACAGGGGUUACGGGACCGCGCUUUCGUAAUUUCCUAAGUUUCUGAGGAGAUGAGAGGGUCGAGACUGUCCCUGUAAGCAGAAUGAAGACCAAAAGACAUUCAGAAAGGAGAACAGACAAAAGAGAAGUGAUAGUGAACAAGAGGUAGAAAUACAAGACAGAAACAAGAUUUGGGAAAAGUUUGGGACAGAUGGAAUCUAUCAUUCGAUAAAUACAUUUAGAGGAAGCCUGAGAAAUGAUGGUACAAUUUGAAAGUGGAAAGCAGGAAUCAAAGAAGAAAGAACAAUAGACUGGCAGGAUACCAGUUCUACUCCUGGUUCUAGGAACCCAGUGCGUGACUUUGGAUGUCAGAUGAUCCAAAAGUCUCUGGAGUCCUCUGUGUGACCUUCGAGGACCCAUCAACCUGAAAACAGAGCAGGAUGCAGGUGUUUCAACCAUGGAUGCCAUAGUGAUACUGUGCUCUUCCUCUCCCCUGCCCUGCCCGCAUGAGGAAGAGUCAAGGCUGGAUGGAGCCUGAGUGUAGGGAAGGAUUUUCUCAUUAUUUGAAAGCCCAUGAAGAUCUCUAGAC